AAAAACAUGUCUUUUUAGUUAUUUAAUAUAAAGUCUGACCUGCCCACUGACUUUAUUUUUGAAGGGCCGCAGUAUUUUGACUGCGCAAAGGUAGCAUAAUCAUUAGUCUUUUAAUUGAAGGCUGGUAUGAAUGGUUGGAUGAGGUACAAGCUGUGUCAUAAAAAUUAAUAUUUGAAUUUAACUUUUUAGUCAAAAGGCUAAAAUUUAAUUGAAAGACGAGAAGACCCUAUAGAGCUUUAUAUAAUGAUUAUUUAAUUUAUUAAGAUUUAUUAAAUUUAAUUGUUUUAUUGUAUUUUGUUGGGGUGACAAUAAAACUUAAAAAACUUUUAUUAUUAUUUUACAUUUAUUUAUGAUUUUAUGAUCCAGUUUUAUUGAUUAUAA
rnacentral:rRNA from 1 species